ACAAAUACAUCUCGCAAUCGAAACCUAAAGCUCACAAGUCACAAAGCAAUUUGUGUCUUUCUCUCCUUCUCUCCCCCCCUGCUCGCCGCCGCCUCCCCUCGCCGAUCCGGGGGAGACGAGACUCUCUAGAUCCCUCGCUGUUCCUCGUGUUUGACCAGAUCCUCGUUAAUUUCUGUUCGAUCGAUCUUAAUACGCGUUUCAAUUCUUCGUCGUCUUUCCUGUUACCGUUAGUUUUCUUCUUGUUAUUUUGUUCUGCUCUGUUUCUUCUAACCAUGGAUGCAGGAUACCGCUCGAUCUCUUCCGAGAAGAGCCGCGCCGUGCAGCGGCCGCCCCUCCAGGAGGCCGGAUCCCGCCCCUACAUGCCAUCGCUGAGCACCUCCUCGCGCGACCCGUCGGCCAAGUGCUACGGAGACAGGUUCAUCCCGAACAGGUCAGCGAUGGACAUGGACAUGGCGCACUACCUGCUCACGGAGCCCAAGAAGGACAAGGAGAACAUGGCCUCGUCCCCAUCCAAGGAGGCCUACAGGAAGCUUCUCACCGAGAAGCUGCUCAAUAACAGGACGCGGAUCCUCGCCUUCAGGAACAAGCCGCCGGAGCCUGAGAACAUCUUGGCUGCUGACACGGUUUCUUCUCACCAGGCCAAGCCGGCCAAGCAGAGGCGCUACAUUCCCCAGUCUGCCGAGAGGACUCUGGAUGCACCAGACCUUGUCGAUGACUACUACCUGAACCUAAUGGACUGGGGGAGCAGCAACGUGCUGUCCAUUGCGCUGGGCGACACGAUGUACCUGUGGGAGGCCUCGAGUGGAUCCACAUCUGAGCUUGUGACAGUCGACGAGGACAAGGGACCCAUCACCAGCGUCAGCUGGGCCCCUGAUGGCCGGCAUCUUGCCAUUGGGCUUAACUCGUCUGACAUCCAGCUCUGGGACACCAGCUCCAGUCGACUGUUGAGAACUCUGAAGGGUGUGCAUGAGUCAAGAGUUGGUUCACUGGCAUGGAACAACAACAUCCUGACGACUGGCGGCAUGGACGGUAGGAUCGUGAACAAUGAUGUAAGGAUCAGGGACCAUGCCGUGCAGACAUACCAGGGGCACAGCCAGGAGGUGUGUGGGCUCAAGUGGUCUGGGUCAGGGCAGCAACUGGCGAGCGGGGGCAACGACAACCUUCUGCACAUUUGGGAUGUGCCUAUGGCGUCGUCCAUGCCAUCUGCAGGCCGCAACCAGUGGCUGCACAGGCUCGAAGACCACACGGCUGCUGUGAAGGCGCUCGCAUGGUGCCCAUUCCAGAGCAACUUGCUGGCAACUGGCGGUGGCGGUAGCGAUCGGUGCAUCAAGUUCUGGAACACACACACCGGUGCAUGCCUGAACUCUGUUGAUACCGGAUCACAGGUGUGUGCUCUUCUUUGGAACAAGAAUGAGAGGGAGCUGCUGAGUUCACACGGAUUCACGCAGAACCAACUGACUCUGUGGAAGUACCCUUCGAUGGUCAAGAUGGCUGAACUCACUGGCCACACCUCCCGUGUCCUUUUCAUGGCUCAGAGUCCUGAUGGUUGCACGGUAGCAUCAGCUGCUGCAGAUGAGACCCUCCGCUUCUGGAACGUGUUUGGCACUCCUGAAGUAGCUAAGCCUGCAGCCAAGGCUUCGCACACUGGGAUGUUCAACAGCUUCAACCAUAUCCGAUAAGAGAGAUGUAAACCGCAGCACAUUUUCUAUUGCCUCCAUCAGCGCCCCUUGGCAAGGCGAAAUGGACUUCGCAGAGGGCUGCCGAGCUUGAGGAGGAACUUGAUCUUCGAGUGGCUAUAACGCUGUCUGUGUGGAAUGGUGCUCUGGAUGCGGGAGUGGCUGCAGGAGUCAUCCAUCCAUUGGCAAGAAGAUCACCAGGCUCUAUCUCGCCCCUUCUGAAUGUUUCUACCUGGGUGGCAAUAGGUCUCUUGCGUGCCGCUCGGGUGAAUCAUCAUAGCUCUGGCCUCUGGGGCUUCAAGAGGGAUGAGAUCGACAGACUUGCAAACCUGCGCCCCCAAGAAUUCCGAAAACGUUGCUUCCACUUGUCCUGAGCUAGAUGCCAUGAGAGGUGACAUUGCACUCACAACCUCUGUUGAUCAUUUGAUCCACCUCUGAAGCUGCUCAGGGAGCUUGGAAUUCAUGGACAUGCUAAUCUAACAAAACGUGAUACCAGAAGAGUUGGUACUGGAUGACCAGUGCUUUAGCAAGAUCAUAAAAAACUUGUUUCUAUUGGCUUGACAGUGUUGCUUAUGGUGACUCGGCAACUUUAAGUGCAACAGCAUACUGUGAUACUUGCUAAGCUUGGGACUUUCUGAUUACAUGUAUUCACUUUGCUUGUA